UGGGGAAUAUUGGACAAUGGGCGCAAGCCUGAUCCAGCAAUGCCGCGUGUGUGAAGAAGGCCUUCGGGUUGUAAAGCACUUUUAUCAGGAGCGAAACGCUGUCGGCUAAUACCCGGCGGAACUGACGGUACCUGAGGAAUAAGCACCGGCUAACUUCGUGCCAGCAGCCGCGGUAAUACGAAGGGUGCAAGCGUUAAUCGGAAUUACUGGGCGUAAAGCGUGCGUAGGCGGUUUCUUAAGUCUGCUGUGAAAUCCCCGGGCUCAACCUGGGAAUGGCAGUGGAUACUGGGAGGCUAGAGUGUGUCAGAGGGUGGUGGAAUUCCCGGUGUAGCGGUGAAAUGCGUAGAGAUCGGGAGGAACAUCAGUGGCGAAGGCGGCCACCUGGGACAACACUGACGCUGAGGCACGAAAGCGUGGGGAGCAAACAGGAUUAGAUACCCUGGUAGUCCACGCCCUAAACGAUGCGAACUGGAUGUUGGUCUCAACUCGGAGAUCAGUGUCGAAGCUAACGCGUUAAGUUCGCCGCCUGGGGAGUACGGUCGCAAGACUGAAACUCAAAUGAAUUGACGGGGUCAUAGCUGUUUCCU
rnacentral:rRNA from 1 species